CCAUCUACAACUCGUCGAGUUCCCAGGUUACUGAUCUCAUGCAUGUGGCCAGCAGGAUAUCUGGGAAGAGCCGUCUGUGCGAACUCAGGCAGGGCACUGGUGUUGAAUUCACGAUUGUGCUCGCGGCUGUGCUGAGAACUUUUUGGUGUGGUCUGUAAGCCAGAGCUGUGGAAUGUCUCCCCUCCCUCCUCCCAUCCCUUCCUCUCUCUCUAAAUGAGGUAUGGCUGAAGGCACCCCUGCUUUGUGAGAAUCAGUAAAAUGUGUUCAUUCAAACCAUCUGCAAAGUUUUGAAAUAAACAAAGGGAAGGAGAACAGUAAUGCGACACGUUUUCUGGGAAGUACCAAGGUACAAUUUCUGACCUGCUAAGGCAUCUGGGGGCAUAUCCAAGGUGGGAUGGGGGAAGGUGACAAGAAGGCCCAAAUCUCAAGUGAGGAUCCAAAAACCUUUGUUUGGAAGGUGGUUCCUUUUGUGUGUUAUAACUGGCAUGUCUGAUCUCCCAGCAGAGUGCUCUGAGAACCGGCCUGUGAAUGGGUGAAUGUCUGUAGGAUGGUGUCCUCCACCUUUUCUGUACAGGCUAGGACACUUUGGCCAGGGUGGUGAGCCUCAUUGCCAGUGGGUGAGCAAAACCAUGAUGGGUCUCUGCAGCCUUGCAGCCAGGGCAUAGGCUGAAGUCUGGUCACUGCUAGCCAAAUUUCUGGAGUUCAGUGUUCAAAGUAAAACACAUCAAAAGGCUAAGCAACAAAAUGUGUAUCUCCUUCCCUGCUGACACUCUUAGACAUUAGGCUGCUUGUGAUUUACAGAGUUUAGGACUAGGAGGAACAACCAGAAAUCUAGUCAAAACUCCAGUGUAAUUGAACCAGUUAAUUGUUGCUUGAACCAUACUUCUUUCUUGACCAUAGACACAAGAUUUUCCAUUUAAAAAAAAGGUCAGCUGUGCUUGGGCAAAUGUAAAGUUCAGCUAGCCCUGUGCCUGUUCUCUUGUCAGAGAGGCUUAGGGACAAAGGAAAAAGACAAGAAAGUUAAAAGAUUAUUUUUUCUCUCUAAAAACCUUCCAACUAACAGAAACCUGCACCUCAGGUUCCAUCUUCUAUAUCUUCUCCAUCGUCUCCAUCUGCUAUAGCUUAGUCUUUCAAUAGCCAUUUGGAGACAUAUUCUUCUGCCCUGUAUUAAAAUAUAUUUUCUUUCAGUGGGUUCCAGUUUAUUGAACAAAUAGAUUGCUCAUAAUAAAUGUCCAGUUCCCAUCAUGUUAUAUUGUUCCACUAAUCUCUAAAUCAGCAGGAAAUUUCUUCUUAUUACUCCUGCUGAAUAUAAUGAUGUUGAAUAAUGUAACGGGCAGUAACAAUCCUUAAAGAAGCCCACUAGGAACACACCCUUUUAUUGAAUUUUCCCUAUCAUUAUUCAAGAGCUCUCAUUUAGCUUC